ACCUCAUGGUUGGGACAUUGCAUGACUUUUUCCUUGAAUCUUUCCCACACCUCGUACAAGGGUUCACCAUUCAAUUGACAAAAGUUAAUGAUUUCAUCACGCAAUU
rfam:Capsicum annuum cultivar Zunla-1 chromosome 3, whole genome shotgun sequence